rnacentral:rRNA from 1 species
GGGGAAUAUUGGACAAUGGGGGGAACCCUGAUCCAGCCAUGCCGCGUGUGUGAAGAAGGCCUUAUGGUUGUAAAGCACUUUAAGCGAGGAGGAGGCUCUUUUGGUUAAUACCCAAGAUGAGUGGACGUUACUCGCAGAAUAAGCACCGGCUAACUCUGUGCCAGCAGCCGCGGUAAUACAGAGGGUGCGAGCGUUAAUCGGAUUUACUGGGCGUAAAGCGUGCGUAGGCGGCUUUUUAAGUCGGAUGUGAAAUCCCCGAGCUUAACUUGGGAAUUGCAUUCGAUACUGGGAAGCUAGAGUAUGGGAGAGGAUGGUAGAAUUCCAGGUGUAGCGGUGAAAUGCGUAGAGAUCGGGAGGAACAUCAGUGGCGAAGGCGACUGCCUGGGCCAACACUGACACUGAGGCACGAAAGCGUGGGGAGCAAACA